rnacentral:rRNA from 1 species
AUCAACUUUCGAUGGUAGGAUAGAGGCCUACCAUGGUGGUAACGGGUAACGGGGUGUUAGGGCACGACACCGGAGAGGGAGCCUGAGAAACGGCUACCACAUCCAAGGAUGGCAGCAGGCGCGCAAAUUACCCAAUCCCGACACGGGGAGGUAGUGACAAUAAAUAACAAUACGGGGUCCUUUGGGUCUCGUAAUUGGAAUGAGUACAAUUUAAAUCUCUUAACGAGGAACAAUUGGAGGGCAAGUCUGGUGCCAGCAGCCGCGGUAAUUCCAGCUCCAAUAGCGUAUAUUAAAGUUGUUGCAGUUAAAAAGCUCGUAGUUGAAUUUCGGGGUCGGUAGGUUGGUCAUGCCAUCGGUAUGCACUGGUCUCACCGAUUCCUCCCUCUUGUAGAAGCGUAAUGCCAUUAAGUUGGUGUUGCGGGGAAACAGGACUGUUACUUUGAAAAAAUUAGAGUGUUUAAAGCAGGCUAACGCUUGAAUACAUUAGCAUGGAAUAAUGAAAUAGGACGUCGAUCCUAUUUUGUUGGUUUCUAGGAUUGACGUAAUGAUUAAUAGGGAUAGUUGGGGGCAUUAGUAUUCAAUUGUCAGAGGUGAAAUUCUUGGAUUUAUUGAAGACUAACUACUGCGAAAGCAUUUGCCAAGGAUGUUUUCAUUAAUCAAGAACGAAAGUUAGGGGAUCGAAGACGAUCAGAUACCGUCGUAGUCUUAACCAUAAACUAUGCCGACUAGGGAUCGGAUGAUGUUAAUUUUUUAAUGACUCAUUCGGCGCCUUACGGGAAACCAAAGUGUUUGGGUUC